AUGCCAGAGGCACAUUCUUGGCCAGCAGCCAGACCCACCCGCAUGGCACUCUUUCUUGGACAACUCUCAGGGGUUUGCAAGCCCCAGAUACAGAUUUUCGUGAAAACCCUUACUGGGAAAACCAUCACUCUUGAGGUUGAACCCUUGGAUACAAUAGAAAAUGUAAAGGCCAAGACCCAGGAUAAGGAAGGAAUUUCUUCUGAUGAACAAAGACUGAGCUUUGCUGGCAAGAAACUGGAAGAUGGACAUACUUUGUCUGACUACAACAUUCAAAAGGAGUCCACUCUUCAUCUUGUGUUGAGACUUCAUGGUGGUGCUAAGAAAAGGAAGAAGUCUUACACCACUCCCAAGAAGAAUAAGCAUAAGAGAAAGAAGGUUAAGCUGGCUGUCUUAAAACACUAUAAGGUGGAUGAGAAUGGCAAAAUCAGUCACCUUCAUCGGGAGUGCUCUUCAGAUGAAUGUGGUGCUGGAGUUUUUAUGGCCAGCCACUUUGACAGACAUUAUUGUGGCAAAUGUGUUGUCUGACCUAUUGUGUUGUCUGACCUAUUGCUUCAACAAACCAGAAGACAUGUAA